AGUUGGCUGAUGAAUCCCAAGUAGGACGAAAUGCGCGUCCCGACU
rnacentral:hammerhead_ribozyme from 1 species